rnacentral:rRNA from 1 species
UACGGGGGGGGGCAAGCGUUGUUCGGAAUUACUGGGCGUAAAGGGCGCGUAGGCGGUUCGCUAAGUUGGAUGUGAAAACUCUGGGCUCAACCCAGAGCCUGCAUCCAAAACUGGCGGGCUAGAGUUCUGGAGGGGGUAGCGGAAUUCCUGGUGUAGCGGUGAAAUGCGUAGAUAUCAGGAGGAACACCGGUGGCGAAGGCGGCUACCUGGACAGAAACUGACGCUGAGGCGCGAAAGCUAGGGGAGCAAACAGG